rnacentral:tRNA from 1 species
AGGUCCGUAGCUCAGUUCGGGUAGAGCGGCCCCCAUGCCGGGGGAGGGUCAGGGGUUCAAGUCCCCUCGGACCGC